AAAAAACAUGCGGUUCUAGUUCUGCUUCUUCUUCUCUCGCAUCUCAACGUCUCUUCUCUCCAGCUUUCAUUGCUGAUGUUCUUAGAUGUCAAACAAAGUCUGGAUUAUAACUUUAUUCCUUUAUGGUAAGUUAAGCAACCCUAUGAAUUCAAGACUACAUCAAAGAUGAAAGGAAAUUCAUGUUAUGUAAGUGCAAAACCACUUCUAUACAAAGCUCUUAUAAUGUCUCAACUUUUGAUAUCCAUCUUAACGGAAGAUUUGUGUAGGACAACUUUUGAUAUCCCUUAUGAAGCAAGUUCUUGUGGCUCCUUCCUUGCAGAAUUCUUUUUUUUUAAUAUUGGUGCACUUAUACAGGAGGACUUGUUGGAACUUUUUCGAUACAGGUUGGCAGCAGAGCUAGUGCUUUCAAAGGAUAAUAAACAACAAGGUUUUAAAUUAUUUAAAGCACUAAAAAAUAGAACUAUUGGAUUUUUUUUUUCAACCUCUCAAAUGACAAUGCUUUGUAUUAGUGUGAAUGUGAGUCUUUAUCUAUUAGCAAACAAGAGCACUGUAUACAUCAUCUAGAUAAUACACAACCUUCAAUUUUGAGUUUUGACAUUUGUAGUUUGUACUAAGAUAAAAGUGUAGGUGCGAUAACCUUCUCUGUCUGUGGUAUAAACCACAAU